CAGACAUCGAUAAGCAAGCUGGAAGCUUGCACGGGUGAAUGCCAGCAGUUGUGCCGACAGGAAAAGGCUACCUGGGACUAGGCAUGUUCAAAAUAGUGGCUCCAUCUUCCCUUCUCUUUGCCAAACCAUGUGUACAGUAAGGAGCAGACAAUAUGGCCCCUGCCAGGCAAAGACUCCAUUUACAUAAUAAUAUUAGGGUGGGGCAACCAGCCUUUCCCUCUGCACUAUGUAAACAUCACGCCUGGUUGAACCAAUCUGUGAGUCUUACGUAAAUCAGACACCACCUCCUUAAGCCUGCCUAUAAAUUCUGGUGCAGUCCACCAAGGGGUGUUUUUUUUCCCUUUUGGGAGCUCCUCUCUCUCACAAGGGAGAGAACUGGUCUCCUUUCUCUUUCUUUUGCCUAUUAAACCUCUGCUCCUAAACUCACUCCUCGUGUGGUCUGUGUCCUUAAUCUUCUUGGCACAAGAUGAUGAACCCUGGGUAUUUACCCCAGAUAAUGAUGCUGCUUCACUUACGCCAAACAAAAAAAGCACCAAAUGUCCAUAUGGACCAUCUAAGCAUUCAAGACCAUCAGUGAUUCUCUUAAAAAAGAUUUGAGGACUCAUGGGUUUCCUCCCUCUCUAAUAUUGCUGUAGAUGUGGCUCAACUGAUCAGUUCUAACUAGAGGAACCUCAAGCAAUCACUCCACAUACGUUUUUUCAGUUUCCAAAACCUAAGGGAGUUUUGUGGGAGGAGAGCAUAACCAAAUGGAACAUGGACCUUGAGCCUAACAGAAACGGUUUAGACUCUUCGAUCUGCCAGCUGUGAGAGACCUUCGGCAUUAUUACUUCUAUUACUUCUAUUUUAUGGAUGGAGAAACUGAGACUUAGAGAGUUGGUCAAUCAGGACUCAACAAUACCAACCUCACCAACAUCAGUAGGACUACCUCUAUCAUCAGUAUCAUCAUCACCACCCUCAGUAACAUUCCUACCAAAAACUACCAUCGUGGCUCCUAACCAGCACCACUUCCACAGACACUGCCAUCAUCGCUACCUUCCUUUAAUUCAGCAGUUAUUUACUGAGCAGUUAUUUACUCAGUUAUGCACUGAAGAUAUCCAAGCACUGUGCUAGUGAAACCAGCCCAAUUGCUCCAUAGAAAUAAUGUUUAUGGGUUUUUUGAAUAUAGAAAUUUACUCUCUUGAUCUUAAAAUUUGAAACUUUUAUUUGCCCCAUCUGAAUUCUCUUCUCAGGAAACUGACCCUCAGGCAAGGGACUGAAACUCAUCAGAUCACCACAUCCAGAUAAUGAGAGCUCAGACCCCUCAUUCAUCAUGAUUGCUUCCUUACCACUCCCGAAUUCCUUCCUGCUUGUAGCUACGUUCCUUCUCUGCUAUAUAAACCCCCAAUUUUAGUCAGGCAGGUUUGAGAUUCAUCUCCUGUCUCCCUCACUGCAGCACCCAGAUAAAGCCUUCUUACCUGACACCUCUCGUCUCAGGGCCUAGCUCUCCAUGCAUCAAGCAACAGGACCAAGACCAAAGCCCUGGCAUUUUGGUAACAUUAGGCCCUAAGAAUAUCAAGAAGAUAAUACCAGGAUUUUUGCCUUGAAGGACAAUACUAUAGGAACUUAGAAACUUAUAUAAAUGGCAAUUAUAAAAAUGCAGAGAGGUAUAUGCCAUAGGAGGUAUAUAAAUACGUGAUCCGCUCACCUCAGCCUCCCAAAGUGCUGGGAUUACAGGCAUGAGACACCGCGCCUGGCCACAUUUCCACUCUGAUCAUCUUCCUCUUCCUCUCUCUUUCUUUCUUUUUCUUUUCUUCUUCUCCUCCUUUUCCUCCUUCUCCUUCAUUGGGCUGAUUGUGUCUAAUGUCAAAAUAAAUGGAUGAUGUAACCUUGGCCUUCUUUCAAAUAUGACAAAGUUGUUCUUUAUUUUAAUAUGUAAAACUUCAUAAUCAGUUGCAAAUUACAAACACCAGACAGAAUUUGGCUAAACAGAAAAACUCAGAACACUUAAUAAUCCCCUAUUUUUUUUUUUUUUUUUAUUGCAGGGAUCGGGGGAAUGUGAGAGAAAAAAAUAGAGAGAGGGGGAGAUAGAAAUAAUCUUCAUUGCAAAAUAUAAUUUUAAAAUGUUUAUCAUGAAGAAUAAGCAAUGCUAAUUUUCUUUUACAUUUUAAGAAAUGAGCUUUUAGAAGCAGGGUCAUUUCCCACUUCUUUAAGUACAGAGUUACUGUACAUUCUUACUUGCUCCUGGACUUCUAAUGUGAUAUCAUCAUUUCCUCAUAUUACCACCAUUGCAAUAAUGUUCUUUUGCCCACACCUUGCCAACUCUACAAUUCAACUAUAACAAGAUACAUAAAAGGAUCAUAUGCUUGAAAUAUUCCUUAAACCUGUCUAGCACCAUCAAACUGCAAUGAUAUAUUCUUGUCCAAAAGUCUUUUAAAUUCAGGUAGAAGAGAGAGGUAAGAUUUUCUUAUGAUUUUUCUAGUGAACCUAGCCCUACUUUGAUGAAGAGUGUUCUAGUUAUCUAUUACUAUAUUCAAAUUAUUUUUAAAACUCAGUGACUUAAAAAGUAACCAUUUCAAGAUAUCUCUUUUGUGUGCAUAAACAUUUUAAGAUGGAUCUAGAAUUAAUUUCUUUUUCCUUUUCACCUUAACUACAGUGGCCACAGAUGCUCUACUGGGUGCAUCUAGAAUUUAGGUAGAGCUUGGCUGCUUUCUUCUUGUGUUCCAAGGAACAUCAAGCAAGGUAACUCAGUGGUACUCAGCUUGCAUUCAGUGGUACUCAGCUUGCAGGUGGGCUGAUCUGAGGGUUCCAAGGUGGCUUCACUCACACAUCUGGUGCCUUUUUCAUAAUGGAUAGCACAGCUGAAGGCUGGUCAAGCAUUUAUUUCAUCUUGUAUCUACUCUACAUGGCUGGCAUGGACUUUUUGACAGCAUGAAUUCCAGUGGCUGGGAUUCGAAAGUGUUCCAAGAAAAAUCAUUCAUUCCAAGAAACCCAGUUAACAAAGAGAACAUAUAUUCUAAGAAACCCAGGAAGAAGUUUUAAGGCUUCUGGUGACCUAGUCUUGGAAAUCCCAGAAUGUCACUUCGGCUGCAUUCUGUUGAUCAGUCAUGUCCCCAAGACCAACCCAGGUUUAAAAAAAAAGGUUCAGACUCUUUUUUGGGAGGUUACAUGUGGUAAUUUAAUACAUUUAUAUAAUUUGUAAAGAUCAAAUCAGUAUACUUAGGAUGUCCAUCACCUUAAAUAUUUAUCCUUUCUUUGUGCUAGAUAUACAGACUGCCCCUCUUGAUGAAAGAAAUAGCAAGGGAUCUGUGGCCAUCUUUAAUAUAUUAUAGAAGGAAUAGCAAGAACAAAGUUGAGAAAUGAGGAAAAAAAGAUGCAUUCUUGUCAGAGAACUGAGUCAUAAAGUUGGGAUGGAUUAUCGAGUUCAUGGGAUUUAAAUCUAGAAAGGUAAAAGAAGAGGCUUAAGAGACAAGAUUGAGAACUCUGUACUUAAAGAAGUGGGAAAUGGGAGAACUGAUAAAAGGAUGUGAGUGAUCAGAUCAGAGAAGAUGUGGGUAUUGGUGAGAGGGUUGCCGAAUGGUGGGGAUGGGGAAUGGGUUGGAGGUAGGAGACACUGUAAAUAAGUAGGAAAGCCCACCGAAGGAGAGGCAACUGGAAAAGUCUUGGGGAGAACUUGCCCAGGUCCAAACCAUAUGUUGCUGAAGUAAGAAAGGAACAGACAGAGAAUUUCCAAGAUGUAUAUAUCAUUAUCAUCUAUAGUGUUGGUCAUUAUGAGAUACUCUCCUAGUGGCAUGCAGAGUGUAGGAGGAUAGGUAGUAAAUGAAUGAAAUUCUGACUUACAAUGGCUUGCAAAUAUUAAUAACAGGGAAUGUAUUGGCUCACGUAAAUUAAAAGUCCAAUGUUGCAUCCAACUUUAAACAUUUGAUUCAGUUGAAUAAUGCCACUAGGAUUAUCUCUUGUCUCUGACUCCUCUGUGUGAUGACAUUAUUCCUUAGCUAUUUCUUCUAAUGUUGACAAAAUAUCUGAAAUAAGUAUAAACCUCACAUCUUCACACCAUCAAAUCCUGUGUAAAACAGUAUUCUUCUCUCUCUUAGAAACUCUAGCAGAUGAUUCUUUGUGUUUAAUUGGCUAAGAUUGGGUUUUAGAAUUCAGUUCAGUGUAACCUUUCUCUCCCAUCAGUUGCUCUAUGCCCUAAGUUUUACAGGGGCAGGCAUCAGUGUGGGUUUACCAGAGCUGCCUAUGACAAGAAGAGUAUGUCCCUCUAACUCUGGAACUCAGUAUUGGGAAGCCUGUGGCAUAUUUUAUUUUCUGAAGAUGGUUCCAACAAUACCACCCGUCUCACAGACUCUUUAGAACCUUAUCAUUCUUCCGUCAAGUAAUGGAGUCUCUUUCUCGACUUUCACUGGCUGAGGGCAAACAAGAAAAAGAAAAAUAAUAAUAAAUAAAUAAAUGUAGUCUCUUUUCCCUAACCUUGAAUCUAGGCAGUAGAGUAUGUGACAAUUUUGAUCUAUAGAGUAUGGCAAAAGUGAUAAUAUUGUUACUUCCAAGACUACGGCAUAAAAAUGGUAUGCACAUCCUCCUUAUUCUCUUGGAAUGUUUGCUCUUGUAAUAUUGCUCUAGGUUGCAAGAAAGCUCAAGUAGCCCACGGAGAGGAUGCAAGGCUUCCAGCUGAUCCCCUCAGCUAGGCUCAGUAGCAGCCAGAACUAGCCUACCAACAAACCUGCUGAUCAUGUGCGUAAGCCACCUUGAACAUCGAUCCUCCUGCCUGAUGGAGCCAUCCCAGCUGAUGCCACAUGAAGCAGACACAAGCUGUCCCUACUAAGCUCUGCCCAAGUUGGAUAUUCAUGAGUGAAAUAAAUGACUGUUGCUAAGUAAUUAA